AAAAAGACAAACCCCGAGUUUUCGUGUCCAACUUUGACUGUCCGUCUUAUAUGGAAUUUUUUUUAUAAUUCGUAUUUUCAUUGUUAUUAUAUGAUAAAACAUAAUUAAUAUUUUAUGCGUAACUUGUCUUUUUAAUUUUUUUCAUAUUUUUUUCAAAUAAGACGGGUGGUCAAACGUUGGGCACGGAAACUAGGGUUUGUCUUUUU
rfam:Oryza glumipatula chromosome 5, whole genome shotgun sequence.